rnacentral:rRNA from 1 species
GACGAACGCUGGCGGCGUGCCUAAUACAUGCAAGUAGAACGCACAGUUUAUACCGUAGCUUGCUACACCAUAGACUGUGAGUUGCGAACGGGUGAGUAACGCGUAGGUAACCUGCCUGGUAGCGGGGGAUAACUAUUGGAAACGAUAGCUAAUACCGCAUAAUAUUAAUUAUUGCAUGAUAAUUAAUUGAAAGGUGCAAUUGCACCACUACCAGAUGGACCUGCGUUGUAUUAGCUAGUAGGUGAGGUAACGGCUCACCUAGGCGACGAUACAUAGCCGACCUGAGAGGGUGAUCGGCCACACUGGGACUGGGACACGGCCCAGACUCCUACGGGAGGCAGCAGUAGGGAAUCUUCGGCAAUGGACGAAAGUCUGACCGAGCAACGCCGCGUGAGUGAAGAAGGUUUUCGGAUCGUAAAGCUCUGUUGUAAGAGAAGAACGGGUGUGAGAGUGGAAAGUUCACACUGUGACGGUAUCUUACCAGAAAGAGACGGCUAACUACGUG